UGGUGUGAUGGCGUGGAUCGAUCAGAGCAAAGGGGGGAGAAGACAAACCCUAACUUCAUGAAAUUCUCAAGAAUUGAAAGAGAUUAGGAGCCCAAACUAAUGCAUGAACUCGAAACUUCAAUCAUCUAAGCUUGUACAACAAGCGGAACGUGUCAAGGAGAGGUCAAGCAUAGGAGGAUAACGGGUCAAGAUAAGGCAAGAUGACAAAUACACUUAUUGGAGUACUCGAGGUAUGGGGUCGUUGGCUUCAUGAAGAAAUGGAGCUGGAUUUGGAUAAGAGUAUUUAAGAAAGCGCUUGGACAAUUCCACGACUACUUUAUAGAAUGCUCUACGAAAUUUUAUUAUAUAGUUUAAUGUUGAAUGGUAUGUUAAUAACUAAUGGUUUGGUUGUACGUGGUGUCCACAGGUAUCGCUUGGGUUUUCUCUACUUUUAUUGAAGUGAAGCGGACUUAGUUCGAGUUGAGAGCAAGGAUUGUACGGGGUAGAAUGGUCACAUAGUGUAACUCAUAUAGGUUUUGAAGUAUUAAUGUUAUAAAACGUUAUAAAUCCGUUUUAAUGAAUAUAUGGCAUUUCGCAUUUGAACUUUCAUGUGUUUGAUAUGUCUAUUAAAGAACGAAAUUUUUGGGCUCUUGUUUUCCGCUGCGUCGUAUUUUAAGUUAUUACGCGUUAGUCUUACAGGGAAUUGUUCUUAUUACGAACGGGUCAUGCCCGAAUUUUGUUAAAUAAUAGUAUGAUAAUAUUACAUUUUGGAAUGUGUAAUUUGGGCGUAACAAGUUGGUAUCAGAGCCCUGGUUUGAGAGAAUUAAGUACGAGAGUAUAAGUACUUGAACUCAAACCUGUGUGCUCUUGUGAUAAGGAACCCGUACAAUCCAUGACUCGAUCAAGAUCUAAAGGUAGAAAUGGAACGAAAAUGUGUAAGUAUGUAUUAGAUUAUGUAUUUGAAAGAAACUAAUAGUGUGUUAUGUGCAAGGUAAGCUUAAGAUCUUGAAGAGGAUGAUCCGUGAAUACAGAAUGGGAUGAACGCUAAGGCGGGCAAAGGUGCAAAUAGGCAAAUUAACC
rnacentral:lncRNA from 1 species